rnacentral:rRNA from 1 species
AACGAACGCUGGCGGCAGGCUUAACACAUGCAAGUCGAGCGCCCCGCAAGGGGAGUGGCAGACGGGUGAGUAACGCGUGGGAAUCUACCCAUCUCUGCGGAAUAACGCAUGGAAACGUGUGCUAAUACCGUAUACGUCCUUCGGGAGAAAGAUUUAUCGGAGAUGGAUGAGCCCGCGUUGGAUUAGCUAGUUGGUGGGGUAAAGGCCUACCAAGGCGACGAUCCAUAGCUGGUCUGAGAGGAUGAUCAGCCACACUGGGACUGAGACACGGCCCAGACUCCUACGGGAGGCAGCAGUGGGGAAUAUUGGACAAUGGGCGCAAGCCUGAUCCAGCCAUGCCGCGUGAGUGAUGAAGGCCCUAGGGUUGUAAAGCUCUUUCACCGGUGAAGAUAAUGACGGUAACCGGAGAAGAAGCCCCGGCUAACUUCGUGCCAGCCGCCGCAGUAAGAC